GGUCGGAGCACCUGAGCCAAAUGGCCUGAGACUCUGAUCCUCAUGAGGGUCACCUGCCACCAAAUGCUCUCUCCUGGGCGCUGCCAUUCGGUUUGUUACGUCUGCACUGAGCUGGCCCUUCCAUCUCCCAAGCACCCAAUGUUCACCGCCCCUCCUUGGCAUGUGUGCCCCCUCCACCCAACACACACCCUCCAGCGCAGGGCGAGAUGGGGGCCACCUGAAGCUGGGCCCUGAACUUCAAAGUUGGGAGAACCUGAGUCACUCAUCCCAGCAAGGUGAGCUUCCAAGAAACCCCACUCCCACACUACCCCUGUCUUCCCAUAGGUUGUCCCUGGGUCCUGCUAGAAUCUCAGAGAGACAUGGGACUAUAAGUUAUCCAAAUUCUGGAAUAGCCAGAACAAGUGAGUGAAAUGCACCUUUGCCUGCCUGUGAAGGGCCAGCUUCCGCCCGGGCACCAGAGACACAAAGAUGAAUAGAAUCCUUCCUGCUCCCAAUGACCUCAUUUACUAAGGAAGGAGAGAGACAGGAACUCACUGCUUAAGGGCUACGUUUAUUCAUUCCUCUAUCCAGCAAAUUCUUCAGGACUCCAGCUGUGUGCCCAGCAUCAUGCGAGAGCUGGGACUUUAAUUUUCAGUAAGAUCUGCUUUUUCCUUUAAGGAGUUUGCAUCUAAGAAGGAAGCAGGCAGCACCGGAGCAGUUACCCCACAGUGCCGCGAUCCUGGCGAGCGCAUGAGCUACAGGAAACGCGAGGAGAGGAUCCAACUCAGUCUGGAAGGCUCAGUGAGCUGUGCUGGGAUCUCCGGUGUGAACUGCGCCCUAAGCACAGACUGAAGCAAGCUCCCUUACCCUUCUGACCCUGCUUCCUGCCUCUGCUUAUCACCCGCCCUGGGUUCAGAGUGUGAGAUGCCGGGGCUCUGUGACUCUUCACUUCCAACGGCUCCCUGCAGCCCGUGCCGGCCACCACUUCAGCACUGGUGAAUGCUAAAGUGAACGAAAAGGAGAUGGGACUCCAACUUUGUAGUGAAAACCACGCACUGUCUUAUUGAUGUGCACCCUGUCUAACCCGAACUAUUUUUGAUGAAGUGCUUCACCAAGAUGUGGUUUGGGGGAGGGGUAGAACAGGAGAGGAUGAGGAGUAGAGGAGAGCAGGACUCUUCCUCCUCCGCAGAAGGAAACCUGUGAAAACAUGUGGGACCCCAGGCUACCGCUCAGUAGAGUCCUCGAGGUGUUUAUAUUUGCCCAGCGCUGCACUCAUGACAGAUUAUUUUGCCUGCAGGGUCUUAACAACAUUUGGUAGGUGGUCUUGUAAAGGAAAGCAAAUAUUUAAGGCUUUUCUCCUUCCCUCUCCCUAAUUGUUUAUGUGGGGAGAGAGGUACCAGUUGCUCCUGAUAAGAGCAGGCCACAGCCCCAGGCAGCUGGCGCAGCACACGCCUCCGUGUGAGGAACUCUGGCCUGCUGUGGUGAGCACUGCACUGACGUCACUGCCCCCUGGGAGGAGGCUCCCAGUUAAGUGGGGAAAAUGUAUCUGAAAAUGUCGAAGCAGAUUGCUUCCAUUGUCAGGGCAUUUGAGGGAAACAUCUAUGAAAUCGGUAUAGCCCAGAUGUCUUUAUACGCACAUGCUUAGCAAAUCAGGAUUUAACAGAUGGCAUGAAUAUAUACACUUUGCAUAUCUAAAGAUGCUUAUACGAUUAAAUGUAAGUGAUUUUGAAUUUGUGUACCAUACACAUCUUGCAAAAGAAAAGCCAACCAAUUACAUGGUCCAUGUUAUGGUUUACAUAUGUGACCAUCAUUAUAAAUUAUGUCUAUCAGGCACUUACAGGGAGUUGAAUUAGUUACUGUACAAAGCACACAGCCCUGUUUAGGAAUUUAUGAUCCAGGGAAAACGGUGUUGCCUGCAAGGGAAUUAAAGACUGUAUCAUCCGUAAUAACAA